rnacentral:rRNA from 1 species
ACGGCUCAGUAACACGUGGAUAACCUGCCCUUGGGUCCGGCAUAACCCCGGGAAACUGGGGAUAAUUCCGGAUAACGCAUAUGUGCUGGAAUGCUUUAUGCGUAAAAUGGAUUCGUCUGCCCAAGGAUGGGUCUGCGGCCUAUCAGGUAGUAGUGGGUGUAAUGUACCUACUAGCCGACAACGGGUACGGGUUGUGAGAGCAAGAGCCCGGAGAUGGAUUCUGAGACAUGAAUCCAGGCCCUACGGGGCGCAGCAGGCGCGAAAACUUUACAAUGCGGGAAACCGUGAUAAGGGGACACCGAGUGCCAGCAUCAUAUGCUGGCUGUCCGGGUGUGUAAAAUACACCUGUUAGCAAGGGCCGGGCAAGACCGGUGCCAGCCGCCGCGGUAACACCGGCGGCCCGAGUGGUGAUCGUGAUUAUUGGGUCUAAAGGGUCCGUAGCCGGUUUGGUCAGUCCUCCGGGAAAUCUGAUAGCUCAACUAUUAGGCUUUCGGGGGAUACUGCCAGGCUUGGAACCGGGAGAGGUAAGAGGUACUACAGGGGUAGGAGUGAAAUCUUGUAAUCCCUGUGGGACCACCUGUGGCGAAGGCGUCUUACCAGAACGGGUUCGACGGUGAGGGACGAAAGCUGGGGGCACGAACCGGAUUAGAUACCCGGGUAGUCCCAGCCGUAAACGAUGCUCGCUAGGUGUCAGCAUGGCGCGACCGUGUCUGGUGCCGCAGGGAAGCCGUGAAGCGAGCCACCUGGGAAGUACGGCCGCAAGGCUGAAACUUAAAGGAAUUGGCGGGGGAG